GCUGAGACUACUCUGUGGGCUACUUGAAGUCAUGAAGCCUUUUUUGGCAGCAUUGAAAAAUGUUGGAAUUUUCGUGGCUCCUGCCGUGACGAAUGCCUGAAGAACGAAAAGGUCUAUGUUUUCUGCAUGAGUGGUAAAUUGUGCUGUUUGAAGCCCAAGGACCAACCACAUUUACCACAGCAUACAAAGAAUUAGUGCUUUAAAGUCUGAGGCCACAAAAAUGAAGAUAAACUUGCCCUGACUCUGAUGUCAGUAGAUUCCUGAGCUUUAUUAAAACAUCUUUGGC